rnacentral:rRNA from 1 species
UUUUCAAGAAAAUUUUAAUUNNNAUUUUGUAAAAAUCUAAAUCAAGUURGGAUAAAUAAUAAAUUAAUUUUUUUUUAAGGAACUCGGCAAAAUAAAAUAUCGACUGUUUACCAAAAACAUAGCCCUCUAAAAUAUUGAAGGUGAAACCUGCCCAAUGAUAUAAAAAUAAUUAUAAUCUAAUUUAAAUAAUAUUAAAUGGAUGCAGUAACUCUGACUGUAAUAAAGUAGCAUAAUUAGUURUCAUUUAAUUGAUGGAGAGAAUGAAUGGYUACACGAAUUUUUYACUGUCUUAAAAAAAAUUUUUUAAAAUUGAAAUAAUAGUUAAGAUGCUAUUUAAAAUUGUAAGACGAAGAGACCCUAUAGAGCUUUACUAUAAACUUUUUUUUUAAAAAUAAUAAAAAAUUAUYAAAAUUAGAAAGUUUGGUAGUUUAGUUGGGGCGACKGUUUUUUAAAAAUAACAAAAAUAAGCAAUAUAAUAAAYUUAUUUAUUGUAUAAUUAAACAAUUYAACAAUUACUAUAGUAGGCUAUAAUGAYCCGUUAUUAUAAYAAACAAUAARUAACGAUUAAUUAAUAAAAGCUACCUUAGGGAUAACAGGAUAAUUUUGUUUUAGAGUCCUUAUCAAAAACAAAGUUUGUCACCUCUAUGUUGAAUUAAGAUAUCCUAAUAAUGCAGUAGUUAUUGARGGUAGGUCUGUUCGACCUUUAAAAUCUUACAUGAUUUGAGUUCAUUCCGUCGCAAGACAGGAAGGUUUCUAUCUACAAUUAUAAAAUUACUUUAGACUUUUAGUACGAAAGGAAUAAAGYUUCAYUUAGUUAAUUAAAAAAACUAAUAAAAAAWUUUUGAAAGAAUCUAAAAAUUUAAAGUAAUUAUUUAAUAA